rnacentral:rRNA from 1 species
GACGUAGGGCGCAAGCGUUGUCCGGAAUUAUUGGGCGUAAAGAGCGCGUAGGCGGCCUGUUGCGUCCGCUGUGAAAUCCCGGGGCUCAACCCCGGGCCUGCAGUGGAUACGGGCUGGCUAGAGGCAGGCAGGGGAGAACGGAAUUCCUGGUGUAGCGGUGAAAUGCGCAGAUAUCAGGAGGAACACCGGUGGCGAAGGCGGUUCUCUGGGCCUGUACUGACGCUGAGGAGCGAAAGCGUGGGGAGCGAACAGG